rnacentral:rRNA from 1 species
CAGUCGCCGCGGUAAUACGAAGGGUGCAAGCGUUACUCGGAAUUAUUGGGCGUAAAGCGUGCGCAGGCGGUUCGUUAAGACAGAUGUGAAAUCCCCGGGCUUAACCUGGGAACUGCAUUUGUGACUGGCGAGCUAGAGUAUGGCAGAGGGGGGUAGAAUUCCACGUGUAGCAGUGAAAUGCGUAGAGAUGUGGAGGAAUACCGAUGGCGAAGGCAGCCCCCUGGGCCAGUACUGACGCUCAUGCACGAAAGCGUGGGGAGCAAACAGGAUUAGAUACCCGUGUAGUCCCUGUCUCUUAUAC